rnacentral:rRNA from 1 species
CCUACGGGUGGCUGCAGUGAGGAAUAUUGGUCAAUGGGCUAAGGCCUGAACCAGCCAAGUCGCGUGAGGGAAGACGGUCCUAUGGAUUGUAAACCUCUUUUGUCGGGGAGCAACGAGGCCACGUGUGGCCGAAGUGAGAGUACCCGAAGAAAAAGCAUCGGCUAACUCCGUGCCAGCAGCCGCGGUAAUACGGAGGAUGCGAGCGUUAUCCGGAUUUAUUGGGUUUAAAGGGUGCGUAGGCGGAAUGCCAAGUCAGCGGUAAAAUCGCGGGGCUCAACCUCGCUCCGCCGUUGAAACUGGCGUUCUUGAGUGGGCGAGAAGUAUGCGGAAUGCGUGGUGUAGCGGUGAAAUGCAUAGAUAUCACGCAGAACUCCGAUUGCGAAGGCAGCAUACCGGCGCCCAACUGACGCUGAAGCACGAAAGCGUGGGUAUCGAACAGGAUUAGAUACCCCUGUAGUC